rnacentral:rRNA from 1 species
UACGUAGGGUGCAAGCGUUGUCCGGAAUUAUUGGGCGUAAAGAGCUCGUAGGCGGUUUGUCGCGUCUGCUGUGAAAACCCGAGGCUCAACCUCGGGCCUGCAGUGGGUACGGGCAGACUAGAGUGCGGUAGGGGAGAUUUGGAAUUCCUGGUGUAGCGGUGAAAUGCGCAGAUAUCAGGAGGAACACCGAUGGCGAAGGCAGGUCUCUGGGCCACUACUGACGCUGAGAAGCGAAAGCAUGGGGAGCGAACAGG